rnacentral:rRNA from 1 species
AUACGGAGGGUGCAAGCGUUACUCGGAAUCACUGGGCGUAAAGCGCGCGCAGGCGGCUUGAUAAGUUGGAUGUGAAAGCCUACGGCUCAACCGUAGAACUGCAUCCAAAACUGUCAGGCUAGAGUGUGGGAGAGGAAGAUGGAAUUAGUUGUGUAGGGGUAAAAUCCGUAGAGAUAACUAGGAAUACCAAAAGCGAAGGCGAUCUUCUGGAACAGUACUGACGCUGAGGCGCGAAAGCGUGGGGAGCAAACAGGAUUAGAAACCCGAGUAGUCC